GACGAACGCUGGCGGCGUGCCUAAUACAUGCAAGUAGAACGCUGAAGCUUGGUUCUUGCACCGAGCGGAUGAGUUGCGAACGGGUGAGUAACGCGUAGGUAACCUGCCUGGUAGCGGGGGAUAACUAUUGGAAACGAUAGCUAAUACCGCAUAAGAGUAGAUGCUGCAUGACAUUUGCUUAAAAGGUGCAAUUGCAUCACUACCAGAUGGACCUGCGUUGUAUUAGCUAGUUGGUGAGGUAACGGCUCACCAAGGCAAAGAUACAUAGCCGACCUGAGAGGGUGAGCGGCCACACUGGGACUGGGACACGGCCCAGACUCCUACGGGAGGCAGCAGUAGGGAAUCUUCGGCAAUGGACGGAAGUCUGACCGUGCAACGCCGCGUGAGUGAAGAAGGUUUUCGGAUCGUAAAGCUCUGUUGUAAGAGAAGAACGAGUGUGAGAGUGGAAAGUUCACACUGUGACGGUAUCUUACCAGAAAGGGACGGCUAACUACGUG
rnacentral:rRNA from 1 species